rnacentral:rRNA from 1 species
UGAGGAAUAUUGGUCAAUGGACGGAAGUCUGAACCAGCCAAGUAGCGUGCAGGAUGACGGCCCUAUGGGUUGUAAACUGCUUUUGUAUGGGGAUAAAGUUAGGGACGUGUCCCUAUUUGCAGGUACCAUACGAAUAAGGACCGGCUAAUUCCGUGCCAGCAGCCGCGGUAAUACGGAAGGUCCAGGCGUUAUCCGGAUUUAUUGGGUUUAAAGGGAGCGUAGGCUGGAGAUUAAGUGUGUUGUGAAAUGUAGACGCUCAACGUCUGAAUUGCAGCGCAUACUGGUUUCCUUGAGUACGCACAACGUUGGCGGAAUUCGUCGUGUAGCGGUGAAAUGCUUAGAUAUGACGAAGAACUCCGAUUGCGAGGGCAGCUGACGGGAGCGCAACUGACGCUUAAGCUCGAAGGUGCGGGUAUCAAACAGGAUUAGAUACCCUGGUAGUCCGCACAGUAAACGAUGGAUGCCCGCUGUUGGUACCUGGUAUCAGCGGCUAAGCGAAAGCAUUAAGCAUCCCACCUGGGGAGUACGCCGGCAACGGUG